rnacentral:piRNA from 1 species
UNCAAGGACCUCUACUGUUGUAAGACCUC